UACGUAGGGUGCAAGCGUUGUCCGGAAUUAUUGGGCGUAAAGAGCUCGUAGGCGGUUUGUCGCGUCUGCUGUGAAAACCCGAGGCUCAACCUCGGGCCUGCAGUGGGUACGGGCAGACUAGAGUGCGGUAGGGGAGAUUGGAAUUCCUGGUGUAGCGGUGGAAUGCGCAGAUAUCAGGAGGAACACCAAUGGCGAAGGCAGAUCUCUGGGCCGUAACUGACGCUGAGGAGCGAAAGCAUGGGGAGCAACAGG
rnacentral:rRNA from 1 species